rnacentral:lncRNA from 1 species
AAAGAAAAAAACACUUAAGAGUUAAGAGAGAGGAGGAGUGGAAGAAAAUAUCCCCAUGACAGAUAUUAUAAGGAUUUUGAGACGGACCUUAAAAUACUUCUCAUCAGAGGGGCUCCAGCAGCUGCGAGAAGGCAUCCCAUCACCGAUGUUCCAAGAUAUCCUGGCUUACAAAGCUCUCCAUGUGCUGUUUGGCAUCAAAAACAUUCUGCCUCCUUUUCUUUUUUUCUUUCAUACUCCACUAUGGAAUAUGGAAUGUUUUCUUUCUGUGAGGAUAGAGCAAGGACUGGCUUCUUGACAUAGGAAAUUGACUAUAAACAAGAAAAACAUCUGCUGAAGUCAUGAGGUGCUAUUUUUCAGUAUUCAGGAUCAAGGAACCCUAAAGCUAUAACAAUUCUAUAAUUCUAUAAUGUUAAAGAUUUCUCCUUAACAGAUGGUAGUCAUUACAAGUUACUGCAGGGCAUAACUCUUCAAAGGCUAAGAUGAAAAUUUGUCCCAUGCAAAAAAGAGAAGAGAUUUGAUGAAGAAAAGGCAGGGUCAAGUGAUUUUUAAAUCGUGUUAGAAUUCUCCAACUCUUUUGAAAGUUCUAUUUUCUCAUAAUUAGUUUUAGAAAGGUGACUUAGUCAUAAAUUUUACAUCAUAAAAAUCACUGGGCUUCAGAAAUGUAAUAGCUACAUGUCUUUACUGAAUUCAAAAUAAUCCCAUAACUCUUGUCAAAUGCUUUUAGAAUUUAUUAUCACUAAAAGGAUAAUGGUUUAUGCUAUUUCUGUAUACAAAAUGCUUCAAAUUAAAUAUAUCAUGUAGUGACAUGGUCCAAAACAAUUGUCAGUGUCAUGCACAUAUUGGGCUCAUUAAUUCAUUUGUUCAUUAAUUCAUUCCUUCUACAAGUAUAUAUUGAGCAUCUUUUAUAAUCCCAGGCAUUGUUCUAGGUGCUGAAGAUACGAUUAUGAACAAAAGAAACAAAAGUCUCUUUUUUCAUAGAGCAUACCACCACUCUGGAAACACAUGCAUACAGACACACACAGACACACAUGCUAGUGUUAAAUGAAGGAAUAAGAUACUUUUGGAGUUGCACAGUGUGGUAAACAGACUUUAAGGUGGCUCCAAAGAUUCCUACCUCCUGGUAUUCAUGCCUUUGUGUAAUCUUCUCCCCUUGAGUGUGGGCAGGACCUGUGGCUUUCUUUUAAGCAAUCUAAUGUAACAAAGAUAAUGGAAUGUAGGUGAUCCUAUGUCCUUAUUAGAAUCUCCCUCCCUCUUUCCCUCUCUCUUUUUCUCUCUCUCUCUGUCUGUUGUUCAAUCUCAUUUUCUAUCUCUCUCUCUCUCUGGCUUUGAAGAGGCAAGCUGUCAUGAAUCUUAUAGCCUCAGGAGAAAGAAUGCUGCCAAUGACCUAAGGGAACUUGGGAGCUUAUCCUUCCCCAGUUGAGCCUCUGAUGAGAACUCAGUCCUGGUUGACACCUUGAUUGCAGCUUUGUGAGACACUAAGCAAAGGACCCAGGUCAUAAGAGCCCUAAUCAAGAGAGGGUUCUGUCCCACACCCAGAAGGAAAGAAUGUUGCUCAAAGAGGCCAAGAAGAAUCCAGACAGAAAGGACGUGCUGGGUUUCCCCACUCAGUCUGUUGGCAUUAGAUCAUACCUUUUGUCCAAUUAUAUUUCUACAAAGCUAUCCAUACUUUGUUGAACCUAAGCAUAAAAAUGGACAGUUUUCCCUGUAUCUUUGGGUCUUUAUUCUGAUGGCUCCCAUGUCAUGUAAAAAACUAUGAUCAAAUAAAUAUGUAAGUCUUUUCUCCUAUUAAUC